rnacentral:rRNA from 1 species
CCAUGCGAAACUAAUAAUUACGAGUGCUGCUCCGGCCGCCAUGGCGGCCGCGGGAAUUCGAUUGGUUACCUUGUUACGACUUGCAUGUGUUAGGCCUGCCGCCAGCGUUCAAUCUGAGCCAGGAUCAAACUCUACGGUUACCUUGUUACGACUUACGGUUACCUUGUUACGACUUGCAUGUGUUAGGCCUGCCGCCAGCGUUCAAUCUGAGCCAGGAUCAAACUCUACGGUUACCUUGUUACGACUUACGGUUACCUUGUUACGACUUGUCUGAGCCAGGAUCAAACUCUACGGUUACCUUGUUACGACUUACGGUUACCUUGUUACGACUUACGGUUACCUUGUUACGACUUGCAUGUGUAAAGCAUGCCGCCAGCGUUCAAUCUGAGCCAGGAUCAAACUCUACGGUUACCUUGUUACGACUUACGGUUACCUUGUUACGACUUACGGUUACCUUGUUACGACUUCUGAGCCAGGAUCAAACUCUACGGUUACCUUGUUACGACUUACGGUUACCUUGUUACGACUUGCAUGUGUAAAGCAUGCCGCCAGCGUUCAAUCUGAGCCAGGAUCAAACUCUAAUCGAAUUCCCGCGGCCGCCAUGGCGGCCGCGAAUUCACUAGUGAUUUACGGUUACCUUGUUACGACUUCUGAGCCAGGAUCAAACUCUACGGUUACCUUGUUACGACUUACGGUUGCCUUGUUACGACUUACGGUUACCUUGUUACGACUUGCAUGUGUUACGCCUACCGCCAGCGUUCAAUCUGAGCCAGGAUCAAACUCUACGGUACCUUGUUACGACUUGUCUGAGCCAGGAUCAAACUCUACGUACCCCGUUACAACAUAACGGUUGCCUUGUGUAUGAACUCUUGAGCCGGGGUGUAAACUCU